AGUGAACGCUGGCGGCGUGCUUAACACAUGCAAGUCGAGGGGUAACAAGAGAAAAGCUUGCUUUUUUUGUUGACGACCGGCGCACGGGUGAGUAACGCGUAUCCAACCUGCCUAUAACUAGGGAAUAACCUUGCGAAAGUAAGACUAAUACCCUAUGAUUUCCUUUGAUGACAUCAGAUUAGGAAUAAAGAUUUAUCGGUUAUAGAUGGGGAUGCGUCUGAUUAGCUUGUUGGCGGGGUAACGGCCCACCAAGGCAACGAUCAGUAGGGGUUCUGAGAGGAAGGUCCCCCGCAUUGGAACUGGGACACGGUCCAAACUCCUACGGGAGGCACCAGUGAGGAAUAUUGGUCAAUGGGCGGAAGCCUGAACCAGCCAAGUAGCGUGCAGGAUGACGGCCCUAUGGGUUGUAAACUGCUUUUAUACAGGAAUAAAGUUAGCCACGUGUGGUUAUUUGUAGGUACUGUAUGAAUAAGGACCGGCUAAUUCCGUGCCAGCAGCCGCCGUAA
rnacentral:rRNA from 1 species